GACGGAGGAUGCAAGUGUUAUCCGGAAUCACUGGGCGUAAAGCGUCUGUAGGUGGUUCGAAAAGUCCACUGUUAAAAGUUGAGGCUUAACUUCAAAGAUGCCGUGGAAACUUUCAAACUAGAGUAUGGUAGGGGUAGAGGGAAUUUCCAGUGGAGCGGUGAAAUGCGUAGAUAUUGGAAAGACCACCGAUGGCGAAGGCACUCUACUGGGCCAUUACUGACACUGAGAGACGAAAGCUAGGGGAGCAAAUGGG
rnacentral:rRNA from 1 species